UACGGGGGGGGCAAGCGUUGUUCGGAAUUACUGGGCGUAAAGGGCUCGUAGGCGGCCAACUAAGUCCGACGUGAAAUCCCCAGGCUUAACCUGGGAACUGCGUCGGAUACUGGAUUGCUUGAAUCCGGGAGAGGGAUGCGGAAUUCCAGGUGUAGCGGUGAAAUGCGUAGAUAUCUGGAGGAACACCGGUGGCGAAGGCGGCAUCCUGGACCGGGCAUUGACGCUGAGGAGCGAAAGCCAGGGGAGCAAACGGG
rnacentral:rRNA from 1 species